rnacentral:lncRNA from 1 species
AUAAAUUAAUAGCAAAUCUUAUUGGUGAAAUUAUUACAACAAAUAAGAAAAUAUAAAUGCAUAACCAAUCUUUUUUAUGCAAUAUUAUUUCAUAUAAAAUGGAAUUUUUAUUUAAACAUAAUUAUUGGAUACUUAAAAAAAAAACACUGUAAAAUGCGUUUUUUCGCACAGUGAAAACUGCAAAGUUUUAGAGCUUCAUAUCACUGGCUGGAGGGUGACAACAUGGGAGCCUAGGACAUCCAAUUGGUUGACAUUCUAUAUUAUUGCAACAAGGUGGUAGUUGGUUUCCUUGUACAUUGUCUGCCAAAGUACCUGCAAUAACAAUAAGUAACACCACAAAUUUCAAGAUCUUCAAUAAAGUGUUCAUUAUAACCAAGUUUGAUUUCCAAGAAACUGAAA